UACGUAGGUGGCAAGCGUUGUCCGGAAUUAUUGGGCGUAAAGCGCGCGCAGGCGGUUCCUUAAGUCUGAUGUGAAAGCCCACGGCUCAACCGUGGAGGGUCAUUGGAAACUGGGGAACUUGAGUGCAGGAGAGAAGAGUGGAAUUCCACGUGUAGCGGUAAAAUGCGUAGAGAUGUGGAGGAACACCAGUGGCGAAGGCGACUCUUUGGCCUGUAACUGACGCUGAGGCGCGAAAGCGUGGGGAGCAAACAGG
rnacentral:rRNA from 1 species